UAGCACAACAAUGAAUACAUCAAAAGGAGGGUCAAAAAAAAUUAACAUUUGAGAAUAGCAAAAGAAGUAGAUAUGCAUUCGAAUAAAACCUCCAUAUAUCUAAAAAAAUAAAUCCUCCAUAGCAUUAUGUAAAUUCAAAAUUCUUUGCAAAUUUCCAAAAUAUAUAAUAAAAAUCUAUUAAAAUUCUAAAAAAAAAAAAUAAACAAAAUGUCAAAUAUUAGGGAAUAGAAAAAUCUCUUUUCAGCCUACUUUGAAAUCUUUUAAAUGCCUAUACUAUUGCAUUAUGCUACAUUUUAUAAAAUCAACAUGCACAAAAAAAAUUAAGAAAGAAACAACCCUCUUUUAGUGUAAUUUACAUUCUCUGUAGGUCUAUACAACUCAACUCCAAAGUACUCUAAAAUUUUGCAAGCAUACAUGACUCUACCUCUCUAUUGAACCUAUGUCUAUUCUUCUUUGUCCUUGAUCUCCUUCCCUGCCCCUGACCUCAUUUCCAUCUCAAACUCCUUGCUUUGCCCCUCAAUCCUUGCCUCACUUUCAAACUCCUGUACCUCAUUCAAUUCCUUGCCCUUUGAUUCGACCCUCAACCC
rnacentral:lncRNA from 1 species